UACGUAGGGUGCGAGCGUUAAUCGGAAUUACUGGGCGUAAAGCGUGCGCAGGCGGCUUUGCAAGACAGAUGUGAAAUCCCCGGGCUCAACCUGGGAAUUGCAUUCGAUACUGGUUGGCUAGAGUACGGCAGAGGGGGAUGGAAUUCCGCGUGUAGCAGUGAAAUGCGUAGAUAUGCGGAGGAACACCAAUGGCGAAGGCAAUCCCCUGGGCCUGUACUGACGCUCAUGCACGAAAGCGUGGGGAGCAAACAGG
rnacentral:rRNA from 1 species